rnacentral:rRNA from 1 species
GACGAACGCUGGCGGCGUGCUUAACACAUGCAAGUCGAACGGAAAGGCCCUGCUUUUGUGGGGUGCUCGAGUGGCGAACGGGUGAGUAACACGUGAGUAACCUGCCCUUGACUUUGGGAUAACUUCAGGAAACUGGGGCUAAUACCGGAUAGGAGCUCCUGCUGCAAGGCGGGGGUUGGAAAGUUUCGGCGGUUGGGGAUGGACUCGCGGCUUAUCAGCUUGUUGGUGGGGUAGUGGCUUACCAAGGCUUUGACGGGUAGCCGGCCUGAGAGGGUGACCGGCCACAUUGGGACUGAGAUACGGCCCAGACUCCUACGGGAGGCAGCAGUGGGGAAUAUUGCACAAUGGGCGGAAGCCUGAUGCAGCAACGCCGCGUGCGGGAUGACGGCCUUCGGGUUGUAAACCGCUUUCGCCUGUGACGAAGCGUGAGUGACGGUAAUGGGUAAAGAAGCACCGGCUAACUACGUG